rnacentral:rRNA from 1 species
UACGGGGGGUGCAAGCGUUGUUCGGAAUUAUUGGGCGUAAAGCGUGCGCAGGCGGUUCGCCAAGUCAGGUGUGAAAGCCCCGGGCUCAACCUGGGAAUGGCAUGGGAAACUGGCGAGCUGGAGUGUGGCAGAGGGGGGUGGAAUUCCGCGUGUAGCAGUGAAAUGCGUAGAGAUGCGGAGGAACACCGAUGGCGAAGGCAACCCCCUGGGCUGACACUGACGCUCAGGCACGAAAGCGUGGGGAGCAAACAGG